AAUUUUAAGUUAUACAUAAACUACUGGCCUUCCAAGCCGAAAAUAAAAAAUUA
rnacentral:tRNA from 1 species